CACUCCCACCGGACUUCCAGUUUGUCGCCGUGUCCCGUUGGCUCAGGAGCUCUUCCCUCUGAGGGUCCUUGGCCAUCCAGUCUCAUCCAGAGGCAUCUGCGAUCCACACCUCCUCUUCAGACUUCCGGUUUGCCGCUGCAUCCCACCGGCUCAGAAGCUCUUCCCUCUGAGG